CAUCCUCAGCCUUACUCCAGGGACUUUUGCUUGUAACGCACCUUGGCAUUGCCUGAAGAUAGAUGAGAAAGCACAUCUCUCUCCCCAGUAAGCCUCUGCUUUCUUGUGGGGCCUACACACUGCACUGACAGG
ensembl:snoRNA